rnacentral:rRNA from 1 species
CCUACGGUGAGCAGCAGUGAGGAAUAUUGGUCAAUGGACGAGAGUCUGAACCAGCCAAGUAGCGUGAAGGAUGACUGCCCUAUGGGUUGUAAACUUCUUUUAUAUGGGAAUAAAAUGUUCCACGUGUGGGAUUUUGUAUGUACCAUAUGAAUAAGGAUCGGCUAACUCCGUGCCAGCAGCCGCGGUAAUACGGAGGAUCCGAGCGUUAUCCGGAUUUGUUGGGUUUAAAGGGAUCGUAGGUGGAUUGUUAAGUCAGUUGUGAAAGUUUGCGGCUCAACCGUAAAAUUGCAGUUGAAACUGGCAGUCUUGAGUACAGUAGAGGUGGGCGGAAUGCGUGGUGUAGCGGUGAAAUGCUUAGAGAUCACGAAGAACUCCGAUUGCGAAGGCAGCUCACUGGACUGCAACUGACACUGAGGCUCGAAAGUGUGGGUAUCAAACAGGAUUAGAUACCCUAGUAGUC